GGGGAUGUGUCGUAAUUGGCAGCCGAGCACGACUUAGGAUCGUGUGCCGAAAGGCGUGUGGGUUCGAGUCCCACCAUCCCCA
rnacentral:tRNA from 1 species